CUCUCAGUUUUUUCAUUCUAUUAGAGGAAGCGUUAGAAGCCAAAUAUGGUUAAAACAGGGAGGGCCCUUUUGCAAAGAAAUGCCUCACGGGACUUGCAAUGCAGGGAUGCUUUUUGUGCAAAACGUGGCCUUUGAAAAAACAACGGCCGUGAGGUAUGCGUCAGAGGACAGUCAUCGUGAUCGAUUAAAAUUUACAAUCAAGAAUCAACUAUUAAGUUUAAAAUAUACCCGAAAAAAACUUUAAAAAGUAAAUAUAUUAAAAUGAUUAUAUUUUUAUAUAUUUUUUUAAUACCAGUAUUUUAAGAUUAUUGAAAAAUAUUUAGAAAAAUAAAUUUAAUAUUUUUUCAAAUUAAAUAUAUUUUCCUAUAUUAAUUCCAAACGAGAUUGUAGUAAAAAUGUUUGAAAAAGCAUUGUAACUAUAUUAUCAAAUACACAGUAACCAAAUCUAAAAUGUACAUAGCUCAGUUGCCUUGUUUGAAACCGUUGACAUUGGCUUCUAAAUAAAAAAUCCAUCUCCUUCCUUGAUUGUGUUUACGGGCCAUAUGCCUUUAUCUUUUAAAAGGUCAACACGAGAGAAAAAGGCGUGUAGAGAAAUGAAACAAAAUUGUGAUGAUGUACUAAAAUGUAAAUAGCUCAGUUGCCUUGAUUGAACCUUGUUUUUUGUUUUUUUUUUUAAAAAGUAAAGGGGUAAGGUCUUUGUAUAUAAAAUACGCCAGAACUUAAUUUAUCGGAUGUGCUGGUUAUUCUUUUUCUCGGAUUAGAAGAAGGGUGGAAAUCCCAGGAUAAUUAAUCGAAAAACAUGUAUGUAUUUAGUAGUGUGAACUAUACUGAAAAAGAUUUCUAAGCAUGUAAAAGAAACCAUGAAGAAAUUCUUACUUAAAAAGUAUUAGGUGAAAGAAAUCUAUUGGAAGAAUCCAUGUAGAAGGAGCUCGUACUUAAAAUGUUUUUCUAAGAGGCCAAGGAAAGUGAAUCCAUAGAGAAGGAACUUAUACUUAAA
rnacentral:lncRNA from 1 species